AGCUCCAAUAGCGUAUAUUUAAGUUGUUGCAGUUAAAAAGCUCGUAGUUGGAUUUCGGGUGGGCUUCAGCGGUCCGCUUAGGUGAGUACUGCUGAGGCCUUCCUUUCUGUCGGGGACGAGCUCUUGGGCUUCACUGUCCGGGACUCGGAGUCGACGUGGUUACUUUGAGUAAAUUAGAGUGUUCAAAGCAAGCCUACGCUCUGAAUACGUUAGCAUGGAAUAACAUGAUAGGACUCUGGCCUAUCUUGUUGGUCUGUAGGACCGGAGUAAUGAUUAAGAGGGACAGUCGGGGGCGUUCGUAUUUCAUUGUCAGAGGUGAAAUUCUUGGAUUUAUGAAAGACGAACUUCUGCGAAAGCAUUCGCCAAGGAUGUUUUCA
rnacentral:rRNA from 1 species